rnacentral:rRNA from 1 species
UACGGAAGGCAGCAGUGGGGAAUAUUGCACAAUGGGCGCAAGCCUGAUGCAGCUAUGCCGCGUGUAUGAAGAAGGCCUUAGGGUUGUAAAGUACUUUCAUCGGGGAGGAAAAAACAAAAACUAAUAAUUUUAUUUUCUUGACGUUACCCGAAAAAGAAGCACCGGCUAACUCCGUGCCAGCAGCCGCGGUAAUACGAAGGGUGCUAGCGUUAAUCAGAAUUACUGGGCGUAAAGAGCACGUAGGUGGUUUUUUUAAGUUCAGAUGUGAAAUCCCUGGGCUUAACCUAGGAACUGCAUUUUGAAACUGAAAUACUAGAGUAUCGUAGAGGGAGGUAGAAUUCUAGGUGUAGCGGUGAAAUGCGUAGAUAUCUGGAGGAAUACCUGUGGCGAAAGCGGCCUCCUAAACGAAUACUGACACUGAGGUGCGAAAGCGUGGGGAGCAAACAGGGAUUAGAUACC